AACGAACGCUGGCGGCAUGCCUAAUACAUGCCAGUCGAACGAGAUCUUCGGAUCUAGUGGCGCACGGGUGCGUAACGCGUGGGAAUCUGCCCUUGGGUUCGGAAUAACUUCUGGAAACGGAAGCUAAUACCGGAUGAUGACGUAAGUCCAAAGAUUUAUCGCCCAAGGAUGAGCCCGCGUAGGAUUAGCUAGUUGGUGUGGUAAAGGCCCACCAAGGCGACGAUCCUUAGCUGGUCUGAGAGGAUGAUCAGCCACACUGGGACUGAGACACGGCCCAGACUCCUACGGGAGGCAGCAGUAGGGAAUAUUGGACAAUGGGCGAAAGCCUGAUCCAGCAAUGCCGCGUGAGUGAUGAAGGCCUUAGGGUUGUAAAGCUCUUUUACCCGGGAUGAUAAUGACAGUACCGGGAGAAUAAGCGCCGGCUAACUCCGUG
rnacentral:rRNA from 1 species